AAAUCAUGCUGUAUAUAGAGUUGAUGUAACAAAAUGUCUGCAUAAAGUAAGGUGAUCAAUUAAUAUAACACAUUUAUGAAUAUUUUUAACACUCUUACUUUGAGUAUAAUGUAUAUAAUUUGAGUAUAAUGUAACAGAUUUAUGAAUGUGUGUUUAUUUAUUUUUUGUUUAAAUUUUUCUUUAGAACCAUAGAAAUACCUAAUUUCAAAGAUAAUCUAUAAUCAUUUUAUAAUCAAUCAAUAUUAUAUAAUCAAUUAUAUUUUGUUGAUGUGGAAGUCAUUGUAAAAGAUCUUUCAAACGUAUAUUUUAGCUAUAUUUUAAAGACACAUUAGGCCGGGUGAAUAAAAAAGAGCAAUUGCUCACAAGCAAUUGCUCUGAGUAAAAGUUAAAAGCAAAUGCUCGCCGCAAUAGCAAUUGCUCAAAAAUGUGUGAAUAAAGUUUUGCUAAUCCUCGCAAGCAAUUGCUUUUGUGUCGGAGUAAAAGCUAUAUGCCGUUGCGGAUAUAAGUAGCUUUUUUAACUUUUAAUAUUUAAAAAUGGCUUCUUCAAACCAGAUUUCAAUUGAAUCAAGUGAAAAUAAUAUAGCUAGCCAAAGUUUUAACAAAUGUGAAGAUGAAGUUUUUAUAAACAUACUGUGCGAAUUGCCAAUACUUCUACAAAAAAGCCAAGUUCUAAACGUUAAAAUAAGAAAAAACAAAGCAUUUUUAAAAAUGCAAGACUAAAUGUUCCAAGCAACAGGAACAAAAAUUGAUACAAAAACAUUGGCGAAAAAGAUUGCCAACAUGAAGACAAAGUUAAAAAAAAAGUCUGACAUCCAUCGAACUGGAAACAAGCCUAUAAAACUUUCAGCGAGUGAAGUCAAACUUGCUAAUCUUUUAGAUAUAGAAAAGAAUCCUACCUUCACACAAAUUGAUGGGGCAAUAUCAGCAGGCAUAGUUCAAACUCCCAGUGCUGAAAUGAAUUCUGUAUUCAGCUCAUUAAAAAGUCAAACUAUAUUUUCAUUGCCACCAUCAGUUGAAUUUCUUGGUAAUGUUAAAAGUAGUUGCAGGAACACAUCUUCUCAAGCAUCGAGGUCCAAAAAUUCCAAAAAGAUUAAAACUACCUGGUGAAACUAAAGAAACAACCAAAAUGGACGAAUACAGAGCUUCAGCAUGUGGUCAUGCUGGAGCAGCUAAAAUAUUAUCGGUUAAAAAAUUUAAAGUUGAAAUACACCCCAACAUGUAUUAAAUGAAGAGGAGAUAGACAUUAUUGUUGAUAUAAACGUUGAUAGAAAUAAAACAUAAAAACGUGAAAAUAAAUUUUGGUUACUGUUAAAUGUACAGUAGUUUUAAAUUUACUUAAAUUAAGUUUUUUUUUUACCAUGUAUUACAUUUUCAACAUUUAAAAACGUUAUACGUAGUAUUAAAAGAAGGCUGAAUUAAUUUAAAUUAAUAGAAGUAUCUUUAUACAUUUCAGUAACUAAAAUCUUCUUUAAAAUGUUACUUUUUUAUGUUUUAUUUCAAGUUAGUUUUUAUGUUUCAUUUUAUUUCUUAAA